CGGCAGGCUUACACACUGCAAGUCGAGGGGCGAGUCGGAGGGAGCGUUGCUUUCCUUGCCGGCGACCGGCGCACGGGUGAGUAACACGUACUGCAACCCUGCCCUCUUCAGGGGGACGAACCUUCCGAAAGGGAGGCUAAUCCCGCGUAUAUCGGUUUCGGGCAUCCGAGAUCGAGGAAAGAUUCAUCGGAAGAGGAUGGGCAUGCGGCGCAUUAGCUUGACGGCGGGGUAACGGCCACCGUGGCGACGAUGCGUAGGGGUUCUGAGAGGAAGGUCCCCCACACUGGUACUGAGACACGGACCAGACUCCUACGGGAGGCAGCAGUGAGGAAUAUUGGUCAAUGGGAGAGAUCCUGAACCAGCCAAGCCGCGUGAGGGAAGACGGCCCUAUGGGUUGUAAACCUCUUUUAUCGGAGAACAAAACCCGGGACGUGUCCCGGACUGCGUGUAUCCGAAGAAAAAGCAUCGGCUAACUCCGUG
rnacentral:rRNA from 1 species